CCAGACUCCUACGGGAGGCAGUAGUGGGGAAUAUUGGACAAUGGGGGGAACCCCGAUCCAGCGACGCCGCGUGAGUGAAGAAGUAUUUCGGUAUGUAAAGCUCUAUCAGCAGGGAAGAAAGAAAUGACGGUACCUGACUAAGAAGCCCCGGCUAACUACGUGCCAGCAGCCGCGGUAAUACGUAGGGGGCAAGCGUUAUCCGGAUUUACUGGGUGUAAAGGGAGCGUAGACGGCAGUGCAAGUCUGAAGUGAAAGGCGGGGGCCCAACCCCCGGACUGCUUUGGAAACUGUGCUGCUGGAGUGCAGGAGAGGCAAGUGGAAUUCCUAGUGUAGCGGUGAAAUGCGUAGAUAUCAGGAGGAACACCGGUGGCGAAGGCGGCCUGCUGGACGGAUACUGACGCUGAGGCCCGAAAGCGUGGGGAGCGAACAGGAUUAGAUACCCCGGUAA
rnacentral:rRNA from 1 species